rnacentral:rRNA from 1 species
AGAGUUUGAUCCUGGCUCAGAUUGAACGCUGGCGGCAGGCCUAACACAUGCAAGUCGAACGGUAGCACAGAGGAGCUUGCUCCUUGGGUGACGAGUGGCGGACGGGUGAGUAAUGUCUGGGAAACUGCCCGAUGGAGGGGGAUAACUACCGGAAACGGUAGCUAAUACCGCAUAACGUCGCAAGACCAAAGUGGGGGACCUUCGGGCCUCACACCAUCGGAUGUGCCCAGAUGGGAUUAGCUAGUAGGUGGGGUAACGGCUCACCUAGGCGACGAUCCCUAGCUGGUCUGAGAGGAUGACCAGCCACACUGGAACUGAGACACGGUCCAGACUCCUACGGGAGGCAGCAGUGGGGAAUAUUGCACAAUGGGCGCAAGCCUGAUGCAGCCAUGCCGCGUGUAUGAAGAAGGCCUUCGGGUUGUAAAGUACUUUCAGCGAGGAGGAAGGCAUUAAGGUUAAUAACCUUAGUGAUUGACGUUACUCGCAGAAGAAGCACCGGCUAACUCCGUGCCAGCAGCCGCGGUAAUACGGAGGGUGCAAGCGUUAAUCGGAAUUACUGGGCGUAAAGCGCACGCAGGCGGUUUGUUAAGUCAGAUGUGAAAUCCCCGGGCUCAACCUGGGAACUGCAUUUGAAACUGGCAAGCUUGAGUCUCGUAGAGGGGGGUAGAAUUCCAGGUGUAGCGGUGAAAUGCGUAGAGAUCUGGAGGAAUACCGGUGGCGAAGGCGGCCCCCUGGACGAAGACUGACGCUCAGUGCGAAAGCGUGGGGAGCAAACAGGAUUAGAUACCCUGUAGUCCACGCCGUAAACGAUGUCGACUUGGAGGUUGUGCCCCUGAGGCGUGGCUUCCGGAGCUAACGCGUUAAGUCGACCGCCUGGGGAGUACGGCCGCAAGGUUAAAACUCAAAUGAAUUGACGGGGGCCCGCACAAGCGGUGGAGCAUGUGGUUUAAUUCGAUGCAACGCGAAGAACCUUACCUACUCUUGACAUCCAGAGAACUUAGCAGAGAUGCUUUGGUGCCUUCGGGAACUCUGAGACAGGUGCUGCAUGGCUGUCGUCAGCUCGUGUUGUGAAAUGUUGGGUUAAGUCCCGCAACGAGCGCAACCCUUGUCCUUUGUUGCCAGCGGUUCGGCCGGGAACUCAAAGGAGACUGCCAGUGAUAAACUGGAGGAAGGUGGGGAUGACGUCAAGUCAUCAUGGCCCUUACGAGUAGGGCUACACACGUGCUACAAUGGCAUAUACAAAGAGAAGCGACCUCGCGAGAGCAAGCGGACCUCAUAAAGUAUGUCGUAGUCCGGAUUGGAGUCUGCAACUCGACUCCAUGAAGUCGGAAUCGCUAGUAAUCGUAGAUCAGAAUGCUACGGUGAAUACGUUCCCGGGCCUUGUACACACCGCCCGUCACACCAUGGGAGUGGGUUGCAAAAGAAGUAGGUAGCUUAACCUUCGGGAGGGCGCUUACCACUUUGUGAUUCAUGACUGGGGUGAAGUCGUAACAAGGUAACC